rnacentral:rRNA from 1 species
CCUACGGGGGGCAGCAGUGAGGAAUAUUGGUCAAUGGACGCAAGUCUGAACCAGCCAUGCCGCGUGCAGGAAGACGGCUCUAUGAGUUGUAAACUGCUUUUGUAUGAGGGUAAACGCAGAUACGCGUAUCUGUCUGAAAGUAUCGUACGAAUAAGGAUCGGCUAACUCCGUGCCAGCAGCCGCGGUAAUACGGAGGAUUCAAGCGUUAUCCGGAUUUAUUGGGUUUAAAGGGUGCGUAGGCGGUCGGAUAAGUUAGAGGUGAAAUCCCGAGGCUCAACUUCGGAAUUGCCUCUGAUACUGUUCGGCUAGAGAGUAGUUGCGGUAGGCGGAAUGUGUGGUGUAGCGGUGAAAUGCUUAGAGAUCAUACAGAACACCGAUUGCGAAGGCAGCUUACCAGGCUACUUCUGACGUUGAGGCACGAGAGCGUGGGGAGCGAACAGGAUUAGAUACCCUUGUAGUC